rnacentral:snRNA from 1 species
AACCAGACCUUGAUUAAGGAAC